CUUGGUUUCAGCAACGACUACAUUGAUCUUUUUUGUGUGUGUGUGCAUUGAUCUUUUAAAGUUAUUUCUUGAAUUCUAUUAGUAAUAUUCUUAAACCUAGAAAGCAAUCGUUUAAAACAUCUCUGUUCUCAGUGAAGUUAGUCUGAAGUUAGCAGUGGAGAUACAAUUAAUGUAUGUGAAUAAUAAGCAAAUGAUAUGUAUUUAUAAGCAGCUUUGGUCACUAUUUCAAGCCUUAGGUUAAGGUUUGGGAUUAUGAGGAUAGACAGAUGUGGUCCUUGACCUUGAGUUUAUAGUUUUAUUAGGAGGGGGGUGGUAAAUUCAGAGACAGAAUUAAUCAUAGAAACUCUUAAGCCGAAUUCUGAGACAUUACUCAGAUGCCUCAUCAGGUGACUAGCUGUUUGGAAAGGAGAAUAUAGUAAAAAUAUUACCAAGGUAUUUCUCAGAAUAGUUGUUUUAGCUGCAUCCGUGCAUACUUGCCCACACUGAGUUCUGAAUUCAGUUCCUUAUUAUCUUUGUGAUAUGGCUUUCACUGUAAAUAUAUAUAAUAUAGUCUGAUAGCUAAAUCAGUCCAGUAGUGUGGGAGAUUAACAGCAUAAUAAUAAAAAAGACUUCAUGAAUCAAUGUACCAGAAGCUCCCUUCGAUUGAAUUCUUUCCUUGGUACACUGAUAUUUUACA
rnacentral:lncRNA from 1 species